CUCCCCACGUGCAUCAAUGAGCCUUCGGUACCCAUCAUCCUUGCACACGUUUAGUAGGUACCUCCCACUCCAACAGAAACAUCCCACAAGACUUGCUGGUUUACUGUUGUCAAGCUAUCACUUAGAUCUUUUCGCUUCCAACACAUAAAAUUCAUUAACUGAAUUUAACGCGUAAUAUAUCCUACCCCUUAACAGGUGCCAUUGUAGUGAUAUAAUAAAUGUUAU